rnacentral:rRNA from 1 species
GGCAUGCUUAACACAUGCAAGUCGAACGGAAACAGGACGCAGUGAUUCCUUCGGGAUGAUCUUGUCGCUGUCGAGUGGCGGACGGGUGAGUAAUGCAUAGGAAUUUGCCUCAAAGUGGGGGAUAGCCCGGAGAAAUCCGGAUUAAUACCGCAUGUGCUCCACGGAGGAAAGCGGGCCUCUACUUGUAAGCUCGCGCUUUGAGAUAAGCCUAUGUCGGAUUAGCUUGUUGGUAGGGUAACGGCCUACCAAGGCGACGAUCCGUAGCUGGUUUGAGAGGAUGAUCAGCCACACUGGGACUGAGACACGGCCCAGACUCCUAUGGGAGGCAGCAGUGGGGAAUAUUGGACAAUGGGCGCAAGCCUGAUCCAGCAAUGCCGCGUGUGUGAAGAAGGCCUGCGGGUUGUAAAGCACUUUUAUCGGGAAAGAAAAAUUCAAGGUUAAUACCCUUGGAUCUUGACGGUACCCGAGGAAUAAGCACCGGCUAACUCCGUG